rnacentral:rRNA from 1 species
UACAGAGGGUGCGAGCGUUAAUCGGAAUUACUGGGCGUAAAGCGCGCGUAGGCGGCUUUGCAAGUCGGGUGUGAAAUCCCCAGGCUUAACCUGGGAACUGCAUUCGAGACUGCAUUGCUGGAGUACGGAAGAGGAAGGCGGAAUUCCCGGUGUAGCGGUGAAAUGCGUAGAUAUCUGGAGGAACACCGGUGGCGAAGGCGACAUCCUGGACCAACACUGACGCUGAGUGAGCGAAAGCCAGGGGAGCAAACGGG